rnacentral:rRNA from 1 species
GACGAACGCUGGCGGCGUGCCUCAAACAUGCAAGUCGAGCGGGGAACUUUUAAAAGCGCAAGCUUUUAAAAGUUCCUAGCGGCGAACGGGUGAGUAACACGUGGGCAACCUACCCAGAAGACCGGGAUAACGGCUCGAAAGGGCCGCUAAUACCGGAUAAUGUCGGGGUACCGCAUGGUACUCCGAAGAAAGGGGAAACCCGCUUUUGGAUGGGCCCGCGUCCCAUCAGCUAGUUGGUGAGGUAACGGCUCACCAAGGCGACGACGGGUAGCCGGUCUGAGAGGAUGGUCGGCCACACUGGGACUGAGACACGGCCCAGACUCCUACGGGAGGCAGCAGUUGGGAAUCUUGGGCAAUGGGCGAAAGCCUGACCCAGCGACGCCGCGUGAGGGAAGAAGGCCUUCGGGUCGUAAACCUCUGUCAUGGGGGAAGAAGCAAGUGACGGUACCCAAGAGGAAGCCCUGCUAACUACGUG